rnacentral:lncRNA from 1 species
GUUUCUUAAAGCCCUCCAAGUGUGAAUGCUUCACAGGAGUCCUUACACUUCCUAUUGUGUAUGAUUUCCCUUCCUCAAGCAGCGUGAGAAAGAAAAGCAAGAUACAAGCAGCCAGAAGCCAGACACCAAGAAAGAGGUGAUGACUGCUCCAUCAAGGGAAACAGGGGGUUACUGUGGGCUCCUGGUGGUGGCCUGGAGGGCUAACACUGAAGUAAGGAACAAGAGCAUUGUGAUCUGAGAACUUGAGUCUUUGGUUUUUGUCUGGAUUCUUCACAUGCUUAUCCCAGCUCUAAGUUGGAAGCACUGGAAGCACUCAACUUCGUAGAAAGGACCGACCCAUUACCACGAGGGACAGGCCCUGUCAACCGAAGGGAGAAUAAGAAGCCAGGUCACUCAUGAAAGGACAGAGGAAGAGUACUCUCAGAAAAGCUUCAGAAUAGACCAUUUAAAUGGCCCCAGUGUCUGAGAAAGAACUAUCUCAGUACACAUUAAGUUGUUGUAUAGUGCCCAAGAACAGAGUGGGGAGCAGUGCUUGACCUGGAAUUCAAAGGAGCUCUGGAGGCACCUGCAACAGCACACGAGAACAAGACUGUAGGUGUCUGAGACAGGAUGGAACUCAGCUUAACUGGUAAACAUCCGGAUAUGUCGGACAGUAGAGUCAACCUAGUUCUCUAUCUCCAGCCUCAUAUUCUCUGCCUGCCU